GGUUAUCUUGGAUUGCUUUGCUAGUACAUUGGAUUGGUGAGUCAUCCAUCAGAGGACAAGACCAUUGAUAUUUUAUUUCUUUUAUUGUCUUUUCAUUUCAGACUUGUACAUAGAAUCACUCUUAUGAUGUUACAACAAUGUAUGUCAGACUUAGUAGUAUUCCACACUUAACAUUAGAUUUCUUUUAUAAUAUGAUAUUUAU
rnacentral:lncRNA from 1 species